UAAGAAUUUAAAAGUCGAACAGACUUAUUCCUAAGAAGACUGCUUCUUAAAAUUUUCUUAAUUCAACAUCGAGGUCGCAAAAUACAAUAUAGAUAUGAACUCCCCAUUGAAAUUACGCUGUUAUCCCUAAGGUAACUUGAUCUUACUUUCCAUCUUUAGGAUCAAAAAUAACAUACACAAAUGAGUUUUAAAACUAAAGUUAAAUAAAUUUAACUGCCACCCCAGCAAAAUAUAUUAUUACUAUUAAAAAAUAUUUAAAUAAAAAUUAAUAACAUAAAAUUAUAUAAAGUUCUAUAGGGUCUUAUCGUCCCAAUAAGUCAAUAAAGCAUUUUAACUUUAAAUUUAAAUUUUAAUAUUUAAAAAAAUAAAAUAUAACUCUCAUACAUCCAUUCAUACAAGCUCCCAAUUAAAAAACUAAUUACUAUGCUACCUUUGCACAGUCAAAAUACUGCAGCCAUUUAGAAAUAAACCAUAGGGCAGAAGAUACUUUCUAUAAAAACA
rnacentral:rRNA from 1 species